rnacentral:rRNA from 1 species
UACGUAGGGUGCAAGCGUUAAUCGGAAUUACUGGGCGUAAAGCGUGCGCAGGCGGCUUUUUUAGUCUGGCGUGAAAUCCCCGGGCUCAACCUGGGAAUUGCGUUGGAGACUGCAAGGCUGGAGUCCGGCAGAGGGGAGUAGAAUUCCCCGUGUAGCAGUGAAAUGCGUAGAGAUGUGGAGGAACACCGAUGGCGAAGGCAGCCCCCUGGGUCAAGACUGACGCUCAUGCACGAAAGCGUGGGGAGCAAACAGG